AGCAGGGGAGUUGAAACUAGAUGAUCAUUGUGGUCCUUUUCAACCCAGGCCAUUCUAUGACUCCUGGAAACCACUUAGGAAAGACUGGAGCAUUCUGGGAACUAUAGUUCCUGCAGUUUUUCUGCAGUUCUCCUUUAGCAGCUGUCUCAUUUCCAUCAGUUCUAUGCAUGAUGUCAUGAUACGGAAUACAUAUAGAAAACCAUGACAACAUACCUGUACAGUGUACAGUUAUCUGUUCACUUAUCUGUACACUGUACCAGUUACUCUGUACACUUCUGUAUCUGUUAGGAUUUUCCUCUGAAUAUUCAAUCACUCCAGGACAAAGCCCUAGAAAAUAGAUGCCAAGAAACAGCAAGGCUAGACAGCAUGAUUUGUGGUAACUAAGGCACUAGGCCACUCUGUGUAAAGAGCCAGCACCAUUCAGAAGAGCUAAGCAAUCAAGCUCUGAUAUCUGCCGGUAUAGCAAUUGAGGACCAUCAGAGAGGGAACCUAAGUACAGCCAACUUGUGAUGGUGUUUUCUGACCCCUUCCCUUGGGUAACUACUUAACAUUGUCCCUUCAAAAAGGAACAAACUAGGAGGAGAAAAGAAUGGGGGAGAGAAAGCAGUAGUCCUGCUGAUAGUUCGGUGUUUGUAUGUGCAUCCAUUUGAGGGUGAGCACUCCUUUCUGUAUCACUUCGUGAAACAUAACAGCUGGUUCAUGCUCUGUCAGAAGUAUUAAUGGAAAAUCAAUGAUUGCCAAAAGGAGUAGGAAAAAAAACCACUAAAGCAGCAACAAAAUGGUCUUGAAGUUGAAAUGUUCAAAUAAUAGAGAAUAAGCUAAAUUGCAAAGAGUGUUUGAGAGUUUGAAUGCCUUUUUUAAACACCAAAGACUCAGAGGCAAAGAUUACUGCAGUUAAAGCUCUGAGCUGGGAUGUGGAUAGCUGCAGAAGAAAGACUAUUUUGUAUAAUUGUUAGAAUGAGAAAAGUUAUUGCUCCUUUUCAAACUGUAGACCACUGAUGUCAUUUAUUGAGUGAUAAAAGUGGUCGUUCAGUAUGUUUGUCUCAUUUCUGUGUUAGCCUGAGUUUGUAAAAAUGUCUGUUUUUUAAUUAUAAGAUUUCAGCUCGAAUUUCUUCCUAUCAAGGUUGUCAUAUUUUCUGAAAAGCAAGAUGUUAAAGGUAUGUAUUAUGCUACAUAAUAUAUAUAAUAUACAUUAUGAUUAAUGUAUACCAGAGUUUGUACUGAACAGCUAUUGUCAUUCUGUGAAAAUUACUGAAAGUACUAACUAUAUUUUCUGAACUUAAUCCUUAACUAGUUUUGCUAGCUUUGUGGGAUUAUUCUCUCUUUGCUAAGAUUUAACCAAUAAUCUGCAAAGCACAGUAGUGAAGCAGAUCUUUGAAAAGAUACGUAUAAAUUUUACUUUGCAUUGUAUUGUAGUGUGCUUACCUUUCUUAAAAAUAUGUAUUUUAGAAUAGAUAUGCAUUAAAUAAUGAAAUGUCCUCAGACAUGUUUUCUGAAACAGGAAUAACUGUGCUCUCUUCUAUAUUUACAAAGUAGAAAAUUAUUUUAAAAGAAAGACUUUUCACAUGCAAAACAGUCCCCAAGAUAUAUCAGCUGGUUCUGCUCCUUGCCCUGUAAACUUCUGCUUUAAUUUUCAGGCUGAACUGACCUUGCACAAACUUCGCCAACCUGAGCAAUCUUCUUCCAGAUGGGUGCUUCAUUAUUUAAGUGAUACUGCACUGUUAAGCUCCUUCAGAAAUGGACAUGCCAACCAACGUCUGGUCCUCAGAUCCUCAUCUCCUGACAAAGGAUUCUGAACCUCAAAUAGAACUGCAGAUGGAACUGGACUAUGAGGACCCAUUUCUCUCUACCACAUCAGAAUGCUUGCUAUUUCCCUUCUGUGUCAUGGAGUCACAGUUGUAUGUGCAGAGUUGCCUUUAAACACAGAUGCCGUUGAGAGAGAUGAGUUUAGGAGGAUGCAGAUGAAAAUAGUGCAUGGAAAGAAAUUUUCAAUGAGGUCGCUUUGCUGUUUCUUCAGAUAAGGAGAAGGUUAAGGACAACUAUUCAGGCUUGCUGAGAACAUGGAUCUCUAGUAAAAGGAUGCUUUGGAAGUGAUGGAUUGAGGUGCACACAUAAUGACCUGUUCCAGUCAGAAACUGAGAGCCUCAGAAGGAGUUGCCAACCAGAUCUAUAGAAUGAGAUACCUCUAACUUGGUGUAUCUUCUGGGGAUUCAGAAGGGCCAUCAGCUACCAGCACCCAAAGGAGGAAAGCCAGCCAG